GAAAAAUCCUCAUCCUUUGUUUUUGACAUAAUCAUAGCUGAAACAUGAUUUUGUGACGGCGAAACAGAGUUAAGUUUCUUCUGUUUGUUUUUCUUAGAAUAGAACAAAUCAGGAAAAGGAGAAGAAUAAGAAGGCACAGUAGUAGCAGGUUCAGAAUUCAGAAUGCUCUGAAAAUUUUCAACGCUUUUAUGUCUAUGCUGCUUCUUCAUUGGAGGUUCAGAAUUUAUAAUGUUCUGAAAAUUUUCAACGCUUUUAUUAUGUCUAUGCUUCUUCUUCAUUGGAGGUUCAGAAUUUAUAAUGUUCUGAAAAUUUUCAACGCUUUUAUGUCUAUGCUUCUUCUUUCCUUUCAAAGAUUGUUGCAUUUUCUCAUCCUUCGUUACAAUUAACUUUUUAUUCUUUCUCUCUGCAGCAGUGUUAUUUUUUGUUUUCU
rnacentral:lncRNA from 1 species